AAACAGCCGUUCAAUGCCAGUCUUAUUCGACGCGUACGCUGUUACGGACUACGUAGAUUACAACAGGCAGGCUAAACUCAAGAAAGUAUGCAUGGGCAAGAAGGAGCGGAGUACACGUGUUUCAAAGGACAUGAGGGAUGCGCCUAGAUACCUGGGUUGAUAUUUAAUAAAACCAAAGCGGUGGCCAAGACAAAGGGAUACUUGGUCUGAAAAUACGAGGAGCCAACGAAAAGACGUUCCUCUUCGGUCCUAACUCGAGCAGCUCGAUUAGAUCCCUUUGUUUCAUAUGCGAAUUUUACGUGUAUUAAAAUACAUUUAGAGAAGAGACGAACAUGAAAGGUAUAUAAUCGAAAGAUGGUCUCGAUUCAUCAUUCUAGAAAAUUUUACUUCUAAUAGAAGUAAGUGAAGAGAUUUUAAUCUAUCUUU